rnacentral:lncRNA from 1 species
GGUACUGUUUUAUUGCCCUUAAGGUGCUUGUUCUUGUUGGGAGCACCCAACAUAUGAGGGAAACAUAAAACGUAAUCAUUCCUGCAAUUUUGUUCCAUCAUUAUUCUUGAUCAGUUUUACCUUGGACAGGGUGUGCCAAAUAAGGGAUUGUGUCUUCUAGGAGAGUCUACUGCAGGCACGGGAAGUGUUGAAGGAGUAUGGUGCUGCUACCAAGGCCAUUGUUGGCCUUCUACAGGAUGCUGAGCGUGCUCUUCUGCCAGGUCUCUGCCAUGCUGGGCCUUGUGCGGACAGACUUCAGGCUAUCCAGGGGGCUAUAGCCUGCCUUAAUGAGGAAUUCAUUGGUCACAUGACUCAGCUGCAGUCCCUGGCCCCCCGACAAGCGUGUCUCUGUCCUAUCAAGGCUGAGGAACUUCACCGUGAGGUCCUCAGUCAGCUCCUUGUGUGGAUUGCUAUACUUCAGGCUCAGGGCAACCUUCACUUGGAGACCCUCCAGAGGUGUGCUGAGAAGCAGGGAGUCUUCAGAAAGCGCUACGAAGACAUACUGCAGAAGCUGAAGCUCUCCGAGGCCAGUCUUUCAGAGAGAAUGUGUGAAAAAGUGAAUUCAUUUCAUGACUGCUUAGAGCAGCAGAGGAAGUUGCAGGUUUGUUCAGGAGUUUGCUGUAUACCUGAAUUCCCAUUGACUUGCUGUUCCUGAAAUCUCCACUGGGGGACUCUCUUCAUACACAGGUCCAAUUAAUUCAUUUGUAGCUGUCCAAUUACCUGAAAUUAAUCUAACCUACUGUAUAAUUAUUCAAAAUUCCUAGGGCAAUACCAUAGGGAACCCUGGGGCAGAAAUGUGUAACAUACAGUAUUCUAAGUAUGACUGUUUAUUUUAUUGCUCAAAAGUAUGGAAACUAGAGCUCACAAACUGCAAGGUUCACCAGUCUUCAUUCCAGUUCUUCAUUACUCAGAUUUCAUUAUAAUUUUGACUAAAUUCAACACAUUAUUUCACAUCCAGUUAAUCUCAAUUAAUUUGACAAUCUUUUUUGUUUUUCUAAACUUUGGGAAAUUUACAUGUUCAUUUUUGCCGGUGGCACAUUCCAUUUAUUUACAAAAUUUAAAAAGAACCAAAAAAAAAAAAAAAAAAGUUUUUUGAAUAUUCAUUUUAUUAUAUUAAGUUUCUUUCAAUUAAUAAAAAUUAACAUUCAUUUGGGGGAGAGAAAAAU